GUACUCGCUUCGGCGGUACAUAUACUAAAACUGGAACGAUACAGAGAGGAUUAGCAUGGCCACUGCGCAAGGAUGACACGCAAAAUCGUGAAGCGCUCACCGGCACG